rnacentral:rRNA from 1 species
AUUGAACGCUGGCGGCAGGCUUAACACAUGCAAGUCGAGCGGAAACGAUGAUAGCUUGCUAUCAGGCGUCGAGCGGCGGACGGGUGAGUAAUACUUAGGAAUCUACCUAGUAGUGGGGGAUAGCUCGGGGAAACUCGAAUUAAUACCGCAUACGUCCUACGGGAGAAAGCAGGGGAUCAUUAGACCUUGCGCUAUUAGAUGAGCCUAAGUCGGAUUAGCUAGAUGGUGGGGUAAAGGCCUACCAUGGCGACGAUCUGUAGCUGGUCUGAGAGGAUGAUCAGCCACACCGGGACUGAGACACGGCCCGGACUCCUACGGGAGGCAGCAGUGGGGAAUAUUGGACAAUGGGGGCAACCCUGAUCCAGCCAUGCCGCGUGUGUGAAGAAGGCCUUUUGGUUGUAAAGCACUUUAAGCAGUGAAGAAGACUCUUCGGUUAAUACCCGGGGGCGAUGACAUUAGCUGCAGAAUAAGCACCGGCUAACUCUGUGCCAGCCGCCGCCGUAACAC